CAAACGGCUCUUUUAGGAACCAUCCACAUUUAUAAAAGCAAGGCC
rfam:Nematostella vectensis strain CH2 x CH6 NEMVEscaffold_8_Cont1739, whole genome shotgun sequence.